rnacentral:tRNA from 1 species
CCUUCGAUAGCUCAGUUGGUAGAGCGGUGGACUGUAGUUGAGCAAAGCUGAUGAUAGAAAUCCAUAGGUCACUGGUUCAAAUCCGGUUCGAAGGA